rnacentral:rRNA from 1 species
UACAGAGGGGGCAAGCGUUGUUCGGAAUUACUGGGCGUAAAGGGCGCGUAGGCGGCCCGCUAAGUCGAACGUGAAAUCCCUGGGCUCAACCCAGGAACUGCGUCCGAUACUGGCAGGCUUGAAUCCGGGAGAGGGAUGCGGAAUUCCAGGUGUAGCGGUGAAAUGCGUAGAUAUCUGGAGGAACACCGGUGGCGAAGGCGGCAUCCUGGACCGGCAUUGACGCUGAGGCGCGAAAGCCAGGGGAGCAAACGGG